rnacentral:rRNA from 1 species
GGGCCCGCACAAGCGGUGGAGUAUGUGGUUUAAUUCGAUGCAACGCGAAGAACCUUACCAGGGUUUGACAUCCUGCGAAUCUCUUGGAAACAGGAGAGUGCCUUCGGGAACGCAGUGACAGGUGGUGCAUGGCUGUCGUCAGCUCGUGUCGUGAGAUGUUGGGUUAAGUCCCGCAACGAGCGCAACCCACGUCUUUAGUUGCCUUUAUGGAACUCUAAAAAGACUGCCGGUUAUAAACCGGAGGAAGGCGGGGAUGACGUCAAGUCAGCAUGCCCCUUACACCCUGGGCUACACACGUGCUACAUUGGGCGAGACAAUGAGAUGCAAACCUGCGAGGGUAAGCUAAUCUAUAAACUCGUUCUAAGUUCGGAUUGUAGGCUGCAACUCGCCUACAUGAAGGUGGAAUCGCUAGUAAUCGC